rnacentral:rRNA from 1 species
AGUCACUGACAUUAGAUACCCCUGUAGUCCCAGCCGUAAACUAUGCGCGUUAGGUGUACUGGUGACCACGAGUCACCGGGUGCCGAAGGGAAACCGUGAAACGUGCCGCCUGGGAAGUACGGUCGCAAGGCUGAAACUUAAAGGAAUUGGCGGGGGAGCACAACAACGGGUGGAGCUUGCGGUUUAAUCGGAUUCAACGCCGGAAAUCUUACCGGGACCGACAGCAACAUGAAGGCCAAGCUGAAGACUUUGCCGGAUUAGCUG